UGGGAGGCCGAUACACAAAUGCCUCCCUAGAAUAAGCUGCCUUUCCAUGACCCGGACGAACCGAGAGAAAUCGGAAUGGACAGAUACGGGGCAGACAAUU